UCCUACGGGAGGCAGCAGUGGGGAAUUUUGGACAAUGGGCGAAAGCCUGAUCCAGCCAUGCCGCGUGCAGGAUGGAGGCCUUCGGGUUGUAAACUGCUUUUGUACGGAACGAAAAGACUCUGGUUAAUACCUGGGGUCCAUGACGGUACCGUAAGAAUAAGCACCGGCUAACUACGUGCCAGCAGCCGCGGUAAUACGUAGGGUGCAAGCGUUAAUCGGAAUUACUGGGCGUAAAGCGUGCGCAGGCGGUUAUAUAAGACAGAUGUGAAAUCCCCGGGCUCAACCUGGGAACUGCAUUUGUGACUGUAUAGCUAGAGUACGGCAGAGGGGGAUGGAAUUCCGCGUGUAGCAGUGAAAUGCGUAGAUAUGCGGAGGAACACCGAUGGCGAAGGCAAUCCCCUGGGCCUGUACUGACGCUCAUGCACGAAAGCGUGGGGAGCAAACAGGAUUAGAUACCCUGGUAGUCCACGCCCUAAACGAUGCGAACUGGAUGUUGGGUUCAACUUGGAACCCAGUAUCGAAGCUAACGCGUUAAGUUCACCGCCUGGGGAGUACGGUCGCAAGACUAAAACUCAAAUGAAUUGACGGA
rnacentral:rRNA from 1 species